UACGGAGGGGGCUAGCGUUGUUCGGAAUUACUGGGCGUAAAGCGCACGUAGGCGGCUUUGUAAGUUAGAGGUGAAAGCCCGGAGCUCAACUCCGGAACUGCCUUUAAGACUGCAUCGCUUGAACGUCGGAGAGGUAAGUGGAAUUCCGAGUGUAGAGGUGAAAUUCGUAGAUAUCGGAAGAACACCAGUGGCGAAGGCGACUUACUGGACGACUGUUGACGCUGAGGUGCGAAAGCGUGGGGAGCAAACAGG
rnacentral:rRNA from 1 species